rnacentral:lncRNA from 1 species
CAAAGGUGUCCACAGUGUUGGCUUCAACCACAUGUAUACAAUCAUCAAAUUCCUAUACAACAGGUCUACCCAUACAAAACAAAAGAGUAAACCUAACAGUCAGUCCUAGAUACACCCACCCUCAAAAAAAUAUAAAACUAGUCCGAAGAGCUGUCCACUAGGAUGAAGAGCCUCGGCUGAUCGCCAUCUCCCCCGGGCCACUAUCCUCCGUAGAGUCUGCCUCAGAUGCCGACAUGACUUCCUCGGGAGAAUCCACCUCAGGAAGUGGGUCCUCA